GAUGAAGAACGUAGCGAAAUGCGAUAAGUAAUGUGAAUUGCAGAAUUCAGUGAAUCAUCGAAUCUUUGAACGCACAUUGCGCCCCUUGGUAUUCCGAGGGGCAUGCCUGUUCGAGCGUCAUUUGUACCUUCAAGCUCUGCUUGGUGUUGGGUGUUUGUCUCGCCUCUGCGUGUAGACUCGCCUCAAAACAAUUGGCAGCCGGCGUAUUGAUUUCGGAGCGCAGUACAUCUCGCGCUUUGCACUCAUAACGACGACGUCCAAAAGUACAUUUUUACACUCUUGACCUCGGAUCAGGUAGGGAUACCCGCUGAACUUAAGCAUAUCAAUAAGCGGAGGA
rnacentral:misc_RNA from 1 species